UGAAAAAUUGAGAUUUGUUACAAAAUUAUGAGAUGUUUAUCUUUUCAUUCUUUAUAAAAUAUGUUUUUUUAAUGAAUAAAAAUAAACAAGAUGAAAAAUUAUAAUAAAUGUAAAAUGUUAACUGGUAAAAAGUUCAGGUUAGUUGGUAAUAUAUUCUUGAUGAUUUCAAAUAUAUUAUUGAUAUGUUCCAGGCAGAGUUUAUUGUUUCCUUUCAAUCAGAAAGAGAGAUUGGUUGGAUUUGACCAUAUGGAAGCAUUUCAUCUUUUCUCCAAGAGGACCCAGAAUAAAAUCUAUGCCCCACUCUUGGUUUGUAUCCUGCUUAUUGAUCUUCAUCCUCUACAAUCUGACUAAUUUCUCCAUAAGUGUGGAUAGCUUCUUGUACAAUUUGGAUUGGCCCUAUCACUUAUUAAACAUUACUGAUUGGGAAGUAAUCUUAAAAAAUUCAUCAGACAUUUUAUGAAGAAAUACUUUUCAAUUUAUGUAAAAAUCUUAGUCCUAAUUAUUUAUAUAAAC
rnacentral:lncRNA from 1 species